CCCAGUUCCCUAGCCCAGAAAAGCGGAUUGGAGCCCGGGAAGCUCAUUGCGAUUCCAAAGGUCACGCUGAUGCAAGAGAUGGGUUCCCAUGAUCUUGGGCAGCUCCACUCCUGUGGCUUUGCAGGGUACAGGCUUCCUCCUGGCUGCUUUCACGGGCUGGUGGUCCCAGUGACCUGCCGAGUGGGAAGAGCCGUGGCUGGCCGGCCUCCCAGUGGCGACGACGACCUCGCUGUGUUCGUGGCAGCGGCACUCUCAAAUCUGGGCACGGUGAUGGGAAGGUUAUUUGUUGGAAUCCCUUUGCCUUUCCAAGGGAAAAUAAACACAAAAAGUGAGAA
rnacentral:lncRNA from 1 species